rnacentral:tRNA from 1 species
GGAGUAGUGGCUCAGUGAUAGAGCACUUGCCUGGUGUGUAUGAGGGCCUGAGUUUGAUCCUCAGCACCA